rnacentral:lncRNA from 1 species
ACUCCAUGUCUAAGUCAUAGAGUUUGUAUUAAGGUUGUAAAAGUGUAAUUUUUAUUUAUUGGAUCGAUCAUGCAGGAGAUUAUCGUUUGGUGAUUGCGAUGAUCUUCUUUAUGAGUUGUGUACGAACUUUGUAAAUAUAUUUUGUCACGAAAUCGCCAAAGGGGGAGAUUGUAAAGGAUUUUAUAGGUUGGCGGAUUUCGUAAUGUUGAAUGGAGUCUUGAAGAGUUGAUUGCAGAAGAUUGAAGAAAAGAUCUAAAUUGAAGGAAAAAGACUCACUCGUAAAGUUCGGCACCUAAGGUAUGAAGAAAAGAUCAUUUGUGAUGAAGAUAUUUGAGUAGAAUAAGUUCAGAAGCCUUAGAUUGCUUUAAAAAUACUUUACUGAACUUUUCUGUCUUCAGGGA